ensembl:snoRNA
CUAUGAUGAACACUAAACUGAAAUAGCUAGAAUUACCAUCAGAUUGUAUAGUGGUGCCAUUCAGUUUUCUGAGA